UACGGAAUGCUCGCCUAAAUCGUGUGAAAUACCGCAGUCAAGUGACGACGAUUAUGAGUCGAAAAUAUGCAGGAAGUGAUUGUGAGUGAACAAAUUGAAUUUAAUAACAGAAAACUUUUUGAGAGCCGUAGUUUUUGAGAGGGAAACAUGCCUAUUAUGUGUACAAGGAUACUAUAAGGUUAUUGUUGGAGAACUCCGGUUUCAACCAUUCUUCCGUCGUAGGACGAGCACAUAUGACUGCUUUUAAAUUUUUAAAUUCCACUUCAUCGCGUGGUUUAAAUUCAAUUAAUGCCCGAACAUAACAUUUUACUAUAAAAAUUAACGAUUCUACUCGAAACUCAUGAGAUUUAGGUGGUAUCGCUAAGGCUGCCAAGGGUAUUGAGCUACUUUCGCUCCGAUUUCAGGAUCAGAUUCAGAUGGAUUUGGAGUUGGAUUAAAACAUUGCGCUCGAUGACGACGCCAGCAAGGAAAACUGAUGUUGGAGGGGUGUUCCCUUAGAUUAAUUUAGUAGAACAAGAUGUCAAAUAAUGCAAAUAUGUAAAAUUGUGUGAAAGGUAAUAAAAAAUUAAAGGCA